UACGAAGGUCCCAAGCGUUGUUCGGAUUCACUGGGCGUAAAGGGUGCGCAGGCGGUCGGGUGUGUCAGAUGUGAAAUCCCGAGGCUCAACCUCGGAACUGCGUCUGAAACUACUCGACUAGAGUACUGGAGAGGGUAACGGAAUUCACGGUGUAGCAGUGAAAUGCGUAGAUAUCGUGAGGAACACCAGAGGCGAAGGCGGUUACCUGGACAGUUACUGACGCUCAGGCACGAAAGCAUGGGGAGCAAAAGGG
rnacentral:rRNA from 1 species